GUGGGGAAUAUUGGACAAUGGGCGAAAGCCUGAUCCAGCCAUGCCGCGUGUGUGAAGAAGGUCUUCGGAUUGUAAAGCACUUUAAGUUGGGAGGAAGGGCAGUAAGUUAAUACCUUGCUGUUUUGACGUUACCGACAGAAUAAGCACCGGCUAACUUCGUGCCAGCAGCCGCGGUAAUACGAAGGGUGCAAGCGUUAAUCGGAAUUACUGGGCGUAAAGCGCGCGUAGGUGGUUUUGUAAGUUGGAGGUGAAAUCCCCGGGCUCAACCUGGGAACUGCCUCCAAAACUGCAUGACUAGAGUACGGUAGAGGGUAGUGGAAUUUCCUGUGUAGCGGUGAAAUGCGUAGAUAUAGGAAGGAACACCAGUGGCGAAGGCGACUACCUGGACUGAUACUGACACUGAGGUGCGAAAGCGUGGGGAGCAAACAGGAUUAGAUACCCCAGUAGUUCC
rnacentral:rRNA from 1 species